rnacentral:rRNA from 1 species
AACGUACGCUGGCGGCACGCCUAACACAUGCAAGUCGAACGCAGUAGCAAUACUGAGUGGCAGACGGGUGAGUAACAUGUGGGAAUCUGCCUUGUGGUUCAGGACAACAUUGGGAAACCGAUGCUAAUACUGGAUAAGCCCUUACGGGGAAAGUUUUAAUGCCAUAAGAUGAGCCCGCAUUUGAUUAGUUAGUUGGUGAGGUAAUGGCUCACCAAGACAAUGAUCAAUAGCUGAUCUGAGAGGAUGAUCAGCCACACUGGGACUGAGACACGGCCCAGACUCCUACGGGAGGCAGCAGUGGGGAAUCUUGCACAAUGGAGGAAACUCUGAUGCAGCGGUGCCGCGUGAGUGAAGAAGGCCUUUGGGUUGUAAAGCUCUUUUGUAGGGGAAGAUAAUGACUGUACCCUAAGAAUAAGGUCCGGCUAACUUCGUG